AAUAUUGGACAAUGGUGGUAACCCUGAUCCAGCCAUGCCGCUUGUGUUAAGAUGGUCUUCUGAUUGUAAAGCACUUUACGUUGGGAGGUAGGGCUUUAGGCUAAUACCCUGAAGUUUUGACGUUACCAACAGAUUAAGUACCGGCUAACUCUGUGCUCACAGCCGCGGUAAUACAGAGGGUGCAAGCGUUAAUCGGAAUUAAUGGGCGUAAAGCGCGCGUAGGUGGUUAAGUAAGAUGGGUGUGAAAACCCCGGGCUUAACCUGGGAACUGCUUUCAUAACUGCUGAACUAGAGUACGGUAGAGGGUAGUGGAAUUUCCUGUGUAGCGGUGAAAUGCGUAGAUAUAGGAAGGAACACCAGUGGCGAAGGCGACUACCUGGACUGAUACUGACACUGAGGUGCGAAAGCGUGGGGAGCAAAC
rnacentral:rRNA from 1 species